GGGGCUCUGCACCUAGAGUGUUGUGGGCACACACCCAUGUUAUCCCCAUGUUCUCCUUUAGGGGAAGACAAAGAGGUGGCAUCAGCUCCUUAGCAUCUCAAUACUGCAGCUUUGCCAGCACUGUCUUGAGACGGUUCCAGGCCUGGACAGAUGCCACACCCAUAUAAAUACAAAAGUAGGGGUUGGGGCAAGUACCAGCACCUCAGCCUAGUCGGUGCAGGUGAUAGUUAUGAAGCUAAGUCCUAGGCCAGGAACAAGGCAGCCAGUCCAGCCAGCAUAGUUGACCCCUCUAUGGACUGGGGCCAGUGCAGCCACAGCAUUCCAGUGCUCAGCCCCUCAGCUGGGAGAUCAGCGACUGCUGCCACGUGCCCAGAAAUGGCUCGUCCUUUCACUACAGCGGAAUGCAAUGAGGGUGGGUGAGAAGAUGAUGGGUCGGUUAUUUCAUUCCUUUUCUUUUUACAACUUCACUUUCAGAGACUUCAGCGUUCCAUGUCUGCUGUGCUGUGGAACCCAGAGUGCUCUUGCCUGGAUGGCUGAGAAUCCCUUGGACCCUGGAAGCACCUACUCCAUGAUGGCCCGGUAUAGUGCAGGCUCAAUAUAAUCUUCCCGGUAUCUUGAGUUGAUAACUCGUUGCCGUUUCUUUUCUUGCUUAACCUCUUUCUCUGUGAAAAUCUCAUUGAAGCGCAUGUCUGAGGCUACUGACUAUAGAAGAAUAAGCAAGCCAAGUGUCAGCUACCCCAGGAACAAUACAAAGGGAUGCAUCCUUGACUUGUUCCCUCCCUCCAAGACAGGAACUGGGGGGACACAGAAAAUACUCACCAGUCUAGAUUUGACUCUCUUGGGAAGCUCUUCAUCCAGUGUGUAUACAUCAUCUCUCUUAACCACAAGUUGUGAGCCAUCCUCAAACUCCACCUACCAAGGAAACAAAGGCCUUUUGGCUAGGAUAUCCCUGACUCUUUCCCUGGUCCACCAUGCACAGUGGCAGUCCCCUACAGUCAAAGGAAGGAGUUAGAACACUAAAAUAACAACUACCUUACUUCACAUUUGGCAGACUGGAAACAGGGCAGACCCCUAGCUCUGAAAGGGUUACCAACCUAUUAGUUCUCCUAAGAGCAAAGACUCGCCUCUGGCCCAACAGGAAGCACAGAAUUAAUCAAGCACCCCCCACUCCCUAGAAAGGUAGAACUUUGGAUACCUGGUACAUUUGGAUAGGGUGGGAGGCCACAAACUUGGCUCCAUAGACUUGGCCGUCUGUCCAUCUCACUUGGACCACUUCCCCUUCAGCAGGAGGACCAAACUGGAGACAGUCCUGGCUCUGAGGAAACAGGAAGGAAGGAGGGUGAAAGGAACGUCCACCUGCACACAAAGGAAAGAUGAAAAAGAGUCACCUACCAUGGGACCUGGCAAAGUACUUCAGAACUUUUAUUCCUUCCAGAAGCAGGUAAGUACCCCAAGUCCUCAUCGUAUUCCCAGCAUAGGGCUUGGUAUACGGGGGGAUAUUUCAUUCAGCAUAUUGGCUGAAUGAAAGGUCUGAUAGGUAUACCUGGGAGAAGGUCCUUAGGGACAUGGCUUAAAAAAUGAGAGAGGGGCAGGGCAGUGAGUCUAAAAGGAUGUGGAUGCUCACAUCUGCUCUUACAAUCAUGCUACAGUUCAUUUAUUGAGUGGAAACAGUUCCCUACUUAUUGACAAUUCAUUUACUGAAUAGGUAAUCAGUAAAUACAUUUUGUAUCAAUCUAACAAUUAGGCAUAAACUACAGCCUCCUACACCCAAUAUCUGAGGUGUUCUAAGAUUUAACUACUCAAAUGUUUGAUAUUUGAUAAAUUGUUUAAGUUCUCUGCAAUUCAGUUCCACCUCCUAUAACAGCACUUCUGAAAAUGUGGUCUGUGAACCUCUGAGGGGUUCCUGAGACACUGUCAGGGAGCAAGUGAGACAUGGCUAUUUUUAUAAUAUUAAACUAUUAGCCUUUGUCACUGUGUUGUCAUUUACCUAGGAUAGGUACAACUGCUGGCACCUGAGCACAGAUCAAGGCACUGACCCUAAGCUCUACUAGUUGUUAUUGCAUUUUUCACCACUGUACACUCAUAAUUUAGGAGAAAAGAGCAAAAACUCUAGAUUGCAUGUAACAAUAUCCCUUGAUGAAGCAGUAAAAAAUUAUUAAUGUUGUUAAAUCUUAAUCAUUGAGUACAUGUGUUAAGUCCUCAUAAGACACUUUUGGUUGUCUCAAAGAAAUCUAUCUGUGUUGUUUGAGUUGUGAAUUACACUAGCUGCUUUGUUCAUGGAAUACCAGUUUUAUUUGAAAAAAAUUACUAGGCCAGGCAUGGUGGCUCAUGCCUGUAAUCCCUCACUUUGGGAGGCAGAGGUAGGAGGAUCGCAUCAGCCCAGGAGUUCAAGACCAGCCUGGGCAACACAGGGGAGACCCCAUCUCUACAAAACAUAAAAAAUUAUCCAGGUGUGAUGGCACACGCCUAUAGUCCCAGUUACUCGGAAGGCUGAGGACUGCUUGAGGCCGGGAGGAUGAGGCUGCAGUGAGCCAUGACCAUGCCACUGCACUCCAGCAGUGGUGCUGCGCAACAGAGCAGGACCCUGUCUUUAAAAAACUCUAUGAAAAUUUAAAAAAAGAAAAAAGUGACUGACAAACUAUGGCUUUUCAGACUUAGGUAUCUGGCAGACAUCUUCUUGAAAAUGCAUGAAGUGAACGCCUGUCAUGUCAAGGAAAACAAAAGUCAGUAUCUGUUGCCAAUAGUAAAAUUCAGGCUUUCAAACAAAUAUUAGCAUUUCAGAGAAGCGGCAUUCACAACUGUGAGCUUGAAACUUCCCAAAAUUCCAAGUUUUUUGAUUAUUAGUGAUACUAACAAAUGUAAUUUUUAAAAUAUUUAUGGCCGGGCGUGGUGGCUCAUGCCUGUAAUCCCAGCACUUUGGGAGGCCAAGGCGGGCAGAUCACGAGGUCAAGAGAUUGAGUCCAUCCUGGACAACAUGGGGAAACCCUCUCUACUAAAAAUACAAAAAUUAGUUGGGCGUGGUGGCGUGCACCUGUAGUCGCAGCUACUUGGGAUGCUGAGGCAGGAGAAUCGCUUGAACCCGGUAGGUGGAGGUUGCAGUGAGCCAAGAACGCACCACUGCACUCCAGCCUGGCGACAGAGCGAGACUCUGUCUCAAAAAAAAAAAAAAAUUAAAUUUAUAAUAAUAUUUAACAACAUUUGGAGGCUGUCGAUAGGCCAGUGCACCAAUAUUUUCUAAAUGACCAAAGUAUGAUGUUAUAAAAGGAUGCAUGGGUGAAAGAUCCAUUCAGAAGAGACCAAUGGGUUUUAGUGUUAACAGUAUGAAACGUUCACUGACCUUUCAGAUUCCACACUGCAACUAACUUUUAAGAACCUGCCAGGAGCAGUGGCUCACACCUGUAAUCCCAGCACUUUGGGAGGUUGAGGCAAAAGAAAUCGCUUGAGCCCAGGAGUUUGAGACUACCUGGGCAAGAUGGCAAGACCCCAUUUCUACAAAUAGCCAUGCAUGCCUGUAGUCCCAGCUACUCGGGAGGUGCUUGGUCAACAAAGCAAGACAUCAUCUCUUAAAACAAACAAACAAACAAAAAAAGUUGUUACUUCCAUUGAGUUUUGGUGGAUAUCAGAGAAUAAUAAACACAAUUACCUGAAAGACUAUUAAAAUACCUCCCUUGGCUGGGAGUGGUGGCUCACAGAUGUAAUCCCAGCACUUUGGGAGGCCGAGGUAGGCGGAUUGCUUGAGCCCAGUUUUGAGACCAGCCUGGGCAACAAGGCAAAACUCCAUCUCUACAAAAAAUUAAAAAAUUAGCUGGGCGCCAGUGACAAGGGCCUGUAGUCCCAGCUACUUGGGAGGCUGAGGCAGCAGAAUCACUUGAGCCUGGUAUGUGGAGGUUGCAGUGAGUUGAGAUCACUGCACUGCACUCCAACGUGGGUGACUGGAGUGAAACCCUAUUUUAAAAAAACAAAAACAAACUCCUUUUUCCAAUUACAUAUCUACGCAAGGCUGAAUUUUCUUCCUAUACUUGAACCUAAACAGUGUAUCACAAUAGAUUGAAUCAAGAAGUGACAUUAAGGCCAGCGCGGUGGCUCACGCCUGUAAUCCCACCACUUUGGGAGGCCGAGGCGGGCGGAUCACGAGAUCAGGAGAUCAAGACCAUCCUGGCUAACAUGGUGAAACCCCAUGUCUACUAAAAAUACAAAAAAUUAGCCGGGCAUGGUGGCGGGCGCCUGUAGUCCCAGCUACUCGGGAGGCUGAGGCAGGAGAAUGGCGUGAACCUGGGAGGUGAAGCCUGCAGUGAGCCAAGAUCAUGCCACCGUACUCCCGUACUCCAGCCUGGGCAACAGAGCAAGACUCCAUCUCAAAAAAAAAAAAAAAAGACAUUAAAGAGAUUUGCAAAAUUGCAGGGAAAUGGCAAUCUUUUGUUUUUGUUUUAGAAAAGUUAUUUUUAAUCUAAAAAAAUUGAUUAUUUUAAAUCAAUCUGCUUUAAUUUCUAAUAAGAAUAAAUACGUUUAGAUGUAACCCAGAGAAACACAGGCUCUUUGGGGUCUCUAACUUGUAGAAAAUGGAGUCCUGAAACCACUGUAAGUUAGAGAUAAUACCACAUCCUUCUCACAGUGGGUAUGAGAAGAUAAAGAGAUACUUGAAAUAACCACUUAGCAUAGUGCCUGGCAUACUGUACCAGCUUAAUAAAUUACAGCAAGGGCCAGGUAUGGUGGCUCAAACUCUUGUAAUCCCAGUGGUUUGGGGGCCCAAGAUGUGAGGAUCGCUUCAAGCUGCGAGAUCGAAACCAGCCUGAGCAACAAAGCAAGACCGUUGUUACUACAAAAAAUUUAAAAAUUAGCCAGGUGUGACUGCAUGUGCCUGUAGUCCCAGCUACCUGGGAAGCUGAAGCAGGAGGAUCACUUGAGUUCAGGAGUUUGAGAUUGCAGGAGCUAUGAUACAGCCACUGCACUCCAGCCUAAGUGACAGAGUGAGACCUGGUCUCUCUCAAAAAAAAAAAAAAAAAAAUAAGGCCAGGCACAGUGGCUCACGCCUGUAAUCCCACCACUUUGGGAGGCCAAGGUAGGCAGAUCACUUGAGCCCAGGAGUUUGAGACCAGCCUGGGCAACAUGGCAAAAGCCCGUCUCUACAAAAAAUUAAAAAAUUAGCCGGCUGUGGUGGUGCGUUCCUGUAGUCCCAGCUACCAGGGAGGCUGAGGUGGGAUGAUCACCUCAAUCCAGGAAGUUGAGGCUGCAGUGAGCUGAGAUUGUGCCACUGCACUCCAGCCUGGGCGUCAGAGUGAAACCCUGUCUCACAAAUAAAAUAUAAAUAAAUGAUAGCUAUGCUACUGCUAUGAGUACUACUAAUGUCGCCUUUUCUAUAAGUCUACCUUAUAACUAAUGAAUGUGCUUUUAGCAACUGAGUGGCUAAUGUGGUAUAAACAUGGGACAAUACCUGAUUUGUUAAAGGAAAAAAUGGUUUCAUUCCUCUCUACUUUGGUGGUCAGUCUACCAACUGAAAAGGCAAGGUGGGGGUAGGGGAAACCUGAACUAAGUCCUCACUACCAAGCCAGACCUAGGACUGGGUCCAUGUGGGGCCACUGUGUCUCAGGUGUUGAUAACAUAAACAGGCCAAGGGUGUCUCCAGGCAGUUUCUACUUAGCCCUAAAGCCCACUGUGAAGAGACAAAAGCAGAUUCUAUACAUCUACUAAGAGGGCCUGAUAGAAAAGAGAGUUGGAUAAUUCCCCUAAAAUCACACAGCUACUAGGCAAUGAAGCUGGUAUUGGCAUAUUUGAUUCCAAAGCCUGGGCUCUCCUAUUGCACUAGAAUGCCCUCAAGGAUAAUUUAGACGGCAACAGAUGCAGGUUUCAAGGAAUUGCAGAAAAUACUGAUUCCCAGGUACUUCUAGGGAAAAUAGGGUACCCUAGCAGCACGCAGUUUUCUUUGCAAAGAAAGACUGGUACAGAUGAUUCUUUCUGUUUGAGGACAUGGUGAUGGGACCAGGGACCUGGCUAGAAGAAGCAGGCAUACACACACAGUCUGCCAGCCAGACCUUAGAAACAUCCCCCCAUUCCAAACUGCCUGAGAAGCUCCUUGCAGAUAUUACCACUAUGUCCUCAGGAUAAAGAUUGUCGCUGAAGGAGCCAUCAUCAAAGUUGACUUCAUAGAAGGUCUCGGUGGUG
rnacentral:lncRNA from 1 species